AAGACAGAGGGUGCAAACGUUGUUCGGAAUUACUGGGCGUAAAGCGCGUGUAGGCGGCUUGGCAAGUCGGGUGUGAAAGCCCUGGGCUCAACCUAGGAAGUGCACUCGAAACUGCUUCGCUUGAGUGUCGGAGAGGAAAGCGGAAUUCUCGGUGUAGAGGUGAAAUUCGUAGAUAUCGAGAGGAACACCGGUGGCGAAGGCGGCUUUCUGGACGAUUACUGACGCUGAGACGCGAAAGCGUGGGGAGCAAACAGGA
rnacentral:rRNA from 1 species